GUGACAUCAAAUGCAAUCCCAGCCCAGCCACGUGGGUUGAAGGAGUGUAGUGUUUCUAUGCAGCUGCUACAGAGUCUCAUUUGGCAGUAAAGGGUCCCAGGAGGUAAUGAAGUGAGCUGGGGUGGGGCGGGGCCUCCUGGGCUUCUACAAGUCCCAAGCCAGGACCGGGUUGCUGCAGCUGGCUUCCUAGUAGCACGGGUACCCUAGUCAGGAUAGUGUGUCCCAGAGUUUAGGGGGAUGUCCAGAAUGACGCUGGUGGAAACAGGCACCUACGACUGUAUAAUGAGACCUGGGUCUUAGAAGUCUCCGUCCUCGGACACCGCCUAUGCUUCCAGUCCUUCUUCCAAAUCUUAAUGGUCCUUUCAGAGCUGUUUCCCCUGGGCUGCCUUUCUUAGGCUAGAGGAAGCCGUCUCUGUCGCCACGAAGUUCUCACCCUUACACAGACCUUCCUUUCAGCCCCGCCCUCUGGUUCACCGGGGCCGGUUUCUAAGCCCUGGCUCACUCUGGGCGGGAACCUCCGUGACGAAUUCAGCCCAAGGUGUUGAUUAUCCGGUCUUUGGCUCUCCUCCCACCUCUUCCCAGGCUCCCAGGGCCCCUCGACCCCACAUUGGGCAAGGGGCUAGAGACAGAGUCCUCAAAUCGUCGCCCACCCCGCCCCCCCCCCAACAGCAUCUCCAGCUGCAUCGGAGGAAAGAAGCGCCAGCGUGCUCCGUGCCACGUCGGAUUUGGCUCAAGACUGGUUGCAGCUGCGGGAGCGCAGCGCUGUCCCCGCGCACGCCCUGGCUACGGGCUGCUUAGCUGGGCGUCCGGCACAAGGAGGGAUGCGCGCUCUCCUCUCUCCCCGAGUGGCGAAUGCCACAGCCUGCGUGAGGGACCCCUUGCCCCAGAAAGGCUUUCGCAGGAUGGCUGUGCCCGGAUGCUCACUGCCUGACACUUAAAUGGAGUUUGGAAACUGCAAACGAGUUGGAGGCCUUGGAAAAGGGGGGAGUGGCUGAACCAGGAUGGUAGCGCGAAGAGGUGGCUCAGGACUUUUCCUUCCUUACGGUCUCUUCCAGCUUAAUGUAGCUGGAAGCCAGGAUCGUUUAACCCUUUCAGUACAAGUCCAAAUUGAGCUUUUUUUUUUUAUUUGUGACCCCACCCCACCCCCUGCACAGAACUGUGUCAGGGUGUUCCUGCCCACAUACUGGGGGGUUUGGGGGUAGGGGGGUUAGGGGGGGUUAGGAAGGUAAGGACAGUUGUGGGAUGAACUUUCCUUACACAGUGGAAAUCAUUGUUUUCUAACUCCGGAGUCCCUUUGACGCUCGGGAAGAUGCCCAGUGGAAAAGUACACCUCGGGACCAUCAGCUUUCCUUGGCCACGCCAGUUACCUGUGCGCCCAGAGAGGCAGCGGAUUCCACCGAAGAUAAAAACCCAGGCUAAGGCAUUCAAAGUUCACCCCAAAGCGCCUGUAUAACGUACCUUGUUCAGCUCCUGCUCAUAGACUCGUCCUCCGCCUGUCUGUGUGGUCCCGGAGGGUCGUGGAAGGAAGUUUCCAAAAUUGAGGUAAUAAGAAAUCAGAUGAAUUUGAGACGACCGGCCAAAAAAAAUAAGAAAUUUAAAAACAACAUUUAAAAAAAAAAUGGGGGGAGCCUUAAAUGUUUGGUUCUCCCCUCUUUGAGAAGAAAAUGCAUUAAUAUGCUCUUUUAUUAUUUCCGUUGCAUUUAAGUCUUCUAAAUUUUUUUGUUAAAUGUGCUUUAAAAAUAAAUUAAAUUUUCCCCUGUUUUGCUAUUUGCUCCAAUCCCCUUCCCUCCGACAAGGCAAAGUCUCCUUUUUCCACAUCAACCUAAAAGUCCGGUGAAGACUCAGCAGAGCCUAGCAAGAGCGGAAUGGAGGUCUUUGGCUGGUUCAAGUCCCCGGUUCAAUGGGCUGCUCAGAGCCAGGACUGGAGAAACGCAGCGCACAGAUGCUGACCAUCGCCUGAUACCUCUCCACAGGCAGUGGCCAAGAAGUGGGAAGCCCUGCUCUGUAAAUAUUGCUGAGACCUGAAAACAUGCAAAAGAUUUUCGAAAGGAGGUUUAAACUAAUGAUGAUAACGAUAAACCUGAGAAAAUGUGUACGGAAGCAGUCGCCUCUUAAGACAUCUGAAAUUACUUUUGCUUCUUGAAAGUCUUUUAGUUAAUGUUUUCAAAAUACUUUUUAAAAAUUUCAAUGACGCCA